GAAUGACUCUCGGCAAUGGAUAUCUCGGCUCUUGCAUCGAUGAAGAACGCA
rnacentral:rRNA from 1 species